UAGGGCUCAGACCUCAGUGCUGCUGGAGGAGGAUACAUUGUGAAGUUAGAGACAUUCCUGUCCACCUUCAUCCCUCACUCUUAGGAAUGUGCUGGGUGGGCAGCACAAAAGGGCUUUGAAGAUGUCAGAGAAACCCCACAGAGACCUCCCCUAUGUAGGACAAUCCUCUGUCUGCUGCCCCUCCCAUGUCCAGAUGCAGGGGAGAAGGAGGGAGUGGAGGAUCCUGCCCAUCUGAUCUCCACUCCUUCCUGUCCUGAAGGCUCUUCUAGCUGCUACAGAAGUUAGAGCUGGCACCUUAGGGCCAGGAGCCAGACUCUUCAGGCCCCAAAUCCAACUCAGUUAUGAUGGCCCCAUUGGACAGAGUGGUGCCAGCAAGUGCCACGAGGGUUUUUCCUGCAGCCAACUGCAGUUCGUCAUUUUCUUGCUAGAAUAAAAAAA